rnacentral:snRNA from 1 species
CAAGAUACAUUUUGCGAGU